GGAUCGGAGUAGACUAACAGGAUUCCCCUAGUAACUGCGAGUGAAGCGGGAAAAGCUCAAAUUUAAAAUCUGGCGGUCUUUGGUCGUCCGAGUUGUAGUCUGGAGAAGUGCUUUCCGCGCUGGACCGUGUAUAAGUCUCUUGGAACAGAGCGUCAUAGAGGGUGAGAAUCCCGUCUUUGACACGGACUACCAGUGCUUUGUGAUGCGCUCUCAAAGAGUCGAGUUGUUUGGGAAUGCAGCUCAAAAUGGGUGGUGAAUUCCAUCUAAAGCUAAAUAUUGGCGAGAGACCGAUAGCGAACAAGUACCGUGAGGGAAAGAUGAAAAGCACUUUGGAAAGAGAGUUAAACAGUACGUGAAAUUGCUGAAAGGGAAACGCUUGAAGUCAGUCGCGUUGUCUGGGACUCAGCCUUGCUUUUGCUUGGUGCACUUUCCGGAUGACGGGCCAGCAUCGAUUUUGACCGUCGGAAAAGGGCUAGGGUAAUGUGGCACCUCCGGGUGUGUUAUAGACUUUAGUCGCAUACGGCGGUCGGGAUCGAGGAACGCAGCGCGCCGUAAGGCAGGGGUUCGCCCACUUUCGCGCUUAGGAUGCUGGCGUAAUGGCUUUAAACGACCCGUCUUGAAACACGGACCAAGGAGUCUAACAUACCUGCGAGUGUUUGGGUGGAAAACCCGAGCGCGUAAUGAAAGUGAAAGUUGAGACCUCUGUCGUGGAGGGCAUCGACGCCCGGACCUGACGUUCUCUGACGGAUCCGCGGUAGAGCAUGUAUGUUGGGACCCGAAAGAUGGUGAACUAUGCCUGAAUAGGGUGAAGCCAGAGGAAACUCUGGUGGAGGCUCGUAGCGAUUCUGACGUGCAAAUCGAUCGUCAAAUUUGGGUAUAGGGGCGAAAGACUAAUCGAACCAUCAGUCCC
rnacentral:rRNA from 1 species